rnacentral:lncRNA from 10 species
AAUGCAGCUCUGCCAGCAGUGGGCAAGUGGCCCGGAGCUGUGGGCGUUUUCGGCUUUGCCAUGCUUGUUCCGUACCAGGGCCUGGCGGCACUCGAGGCAGAACAUCAGCUUCCGCUCAUAGUCAAAGUCCAGCCAGGUAAACUCCUCUUUCCAGUGCUCGUUGAAGUAACGCUUACACUUCUUGUUGGAGUUGGAGGCCUCUCCCGCUGGUUUCUUCCCUGGGGGCACCAUUCUUGCUCUCUCAGCAAGGAACCCCCAACCCCCACCUGAAUGCUCUUGCCCCCCUGCCUCCCCCACACACAGGCACCUCCCUUGACAAGGAGAGUUGAUGGGGAGGCAGGCUGGGGGCAGCCCGCCAGGCUAACAGGGCCCAUCCAUCUAAGCCUGGAGAGUUUAUUCCUGCUCUGCCGGUGGGAGACUGGAGAUGAAAGAGACAGGCAGAGGUGUUAGGGGUCUGUCAUGGUAGGGGUGGUUUAGGGUGGAGUGGUAGGCUUCAUGCUGCCCACAGAGUCCUCCCAGCUGAGGGGUGGAGGGACUCACUGGGGCAGGGGCUCUGGGCAGUGGGUGGAGUCAUGCAAAGGGCCCUAGAGCAUUAUCCAAAGCAGGGGAGGUAUGGGGACCCCAGCCCCCUCCCAGGGUCUCUUUCCACCCAGGACAAGGCACUAAUUCGCUUUGACUGAUGAAGCAUCUCAGAACUGGAAAGGCUGGCAUCACCUAGGCAACUGUAUUUUAUAAAGGGGAAACUGAGUCUGGAGACAGGUAGUGGUUCUCAGGGCCCAUGAGGAGUUCAUAGUGAACCAGGACUAAAACUCAGAACUCUCAACUCCUAGCCCAAAAGAUGACUGUGCCCUUCAGCCCACAGUCAUCUAUUUCAUCAGAAGGAAAUCAGGCCAGGCAUGGUGGUGCAUGUCUAGUCCCAGCUACUGGGGAGGUUGAGGCAGGAUUGCUUGAGCCUGGGAGGCAAAGGUUGCAGUGAGCCAUGAUGGCGCCACUGCAUUCCAGACUGGGUAAUAGAGCUAGACCCUGUCUCAAAAAAAAAAAAAAAAAAAAAAAAGACGGCCGGGUGGGGUGGCUCAUGCCUGUAAUCCCAGCACUUUGGGAGGCCGAGGCAGGCAGGUCACCUGAGGUCAGGAGUCCGAGACCAGCCUGACCAACAUGGAGAAACCCCAUCUCUACUAAAGGUAACAAAAUUAGUUGGCAUGGUGGCACAUGCCUG